GUUCUUUCAAAGGAACUGUUUUUGAUGCUAGUGGAAACUGAAAAUUCACCAAGCAAAUGACUUGCUUGCUUUCAGUUGAUUCAAACCCUAAAUCCAUGUUCAAUGCAGCAGCCAUAAUGGUGGAGCUGUAUCCAUGAACAUUCAUCUCUGCAAACCAACAUUUCUUGAACUGUGGUGUUGAAAAGAAUAACGGAGGUUCCCUUUCCUAAAUGUUCUUUGAAUUUUCAUCUCUGCUUGUUGCUAGAGAGGAAGCAGUUUGACCCAUUGAGAAAGAAGUCAGUUUGAGUUUAAAGUUUUGAUUAAGGAUCAAUGUAAGUGCACAGAGUCUAGCUGUAAGAGAACCUUAGCUUGAAACAUGGAUGUCGAAGAGAAGAAUGCUCCUUUUAGACGAUUUGUCAAUCCACCAUCUGGUGACCAGCAUCUCUUGCUUUACUUCAUCAUGAGCAUUCUUGAGUCCUGAUGUGUACUCUGAUAACCCAGGAUGUUCAGCAGCUCAUGGAAUAGCUAAAGGGUUACCACCAUAUACUUCAAACAAGCUGGGUGACUCAUUUCUCCGUGUUUCUCAAUUGGAGAGCUUGUAUUACUGUCCUAAGAAAUGCUCAUCCUAGCCUGGUUUUGAAUCCAAAUAUGUUGUGCUUUUAUCUUAAAGGCAAGUUGCAUUUGUCAGGCUCAGGGGCACUAGAGGACUGCAGGUGGUUCACAAGUUUUUUUUUACUUAAGAGUACUUGUGGUCAUAGAAGGUACUCAGCAAUCCAUGAAAUUUUGAAGGGGAUUGUUCUUAUUGAGAAUCCAGAUACAUCUUACAUGAGAAAAGAGGACCUGGAAAGGUUCAAAUACUUAUCUGGCAUGGAUAGUUUGAAGAUUGAUAAUAAAGAAAUGCCUAUGCUAUGAGCAUGGAUCCCAGAAAGGUGGAGAAGAAACUGAGCAAACACUCAUGCCAUUCAAGAGAAAAUUGCGGGCACUAUUUCUUCUAGACAUGAGAAACCACCAGCAAUGUUUCAACAGAAAACAAAAGGGGUCACCUUUGCAACCUUCCAGUGCCGGCACUGAAGAAAGCACUUUUGGGAGGAGCUGCAAAUUGGAUGAGUCCACCUUCUGUUGCUUUUCCUGAAUUCGAAGAUUAUAUCACAGAUAUAUCUGUCAUUUUGUCUGGCAGGGCAAGAAGGGGGUACCUGGACCACCAAUCAGAAUUGUCGAUGUAGGCAUUAGCAAAGCUGCAUAAUUUUUUCAAGUUGCUCUUCCUGUUGUGAGGAUUGAUUCUUGCAAUUCCAGCACGACAACCUUUCAUCGUUAAACUCGAAGACAGCAGGGCCACAAUUUGACGUGGCAUCCUUCUAACUGGUGGUUCACGGCCAUGUAUAAUAACCAUGUUGAAAGUGAAGAGGACCGACCAAAGCACUCCCACCAAACUGCACAGUGACAACACCAACUCAACAGUCACAGACCUCUGCUGUCCACCGUCGUCGACUAUCUUAAAGGAAUUUACUUGGGCAGCAUGGAUGCUUCUGGUUCUGCUAACCAACCAAAAAUGAUGCAAUUGGUGACUGUAAAUGGAACUGUGAAGCGAAGUGGUGCUGGACCAUCCAUUUGUCUUGUCGACUUUGGCAUCAAUGAAAAUGCUUAGUUUUUCCGUGUUGUAUUGCCUGGGAUGCGGAGAAAUGAGUAAGUUUCUAACCUCAAAUGUUGAGUAGCACUGGCUUAUGCUGAGGCUUAAAGCGUUGAAGAAUGGCUGCUGUUGUGAUAUAGCAGUUUACCCAGCCCAUUAUACUCGUCUUUGCAGUUGCAGGUAAUUUAUCAUGUGAUAUUGAACGUGAUGGGACUGUUCACAUAAAAGGUGUGGCAACCAUUGAUGCUGGAAUUCUGAAAGAUUCACCAAGAGUCUUCCAUACGAGUGUCCAGCAACAUGCCCUCCGGGGCCAUUCACCAUUUCUUUUAAACUGCUCGGGGGACAGUUGACCCUCGACUCUUCUCCGCCCAUUUCUGGAAAGAUCAACGGUAAUGAAAUACAGAGUACCAACUCUUUCAUCAAACUAGGUUCCACCUCUGUGGGCUUUUUAUCUGGAGCUUAAUUGCACUAUCCAUGAACCGAUGUAAACAUAACCAGCACGCUGUAAAUCAGUAGGCUUGCUGAAAAAACUAAAAAAGAAAAUAAGAAACAUCUGAAGCAGGGCCAUCUCUCACAA